UCAUAACUCCGACUCGCCGAUCCGGAAUGCAGGAGUUCUGACAGGAUAUUCCCAGGCUACGUCCAGGAUGUUCCCAGAAUGGAAAUGUAGCCAUUUCAGUAGUCCAUGAGAGAUUCGAAAUCGAUCAAUCUUGUUCGAAGUAUAUAGCGUUUUCUUAGGUGGUGAUCAAUAGAAAAUUUUUUAACCAUAUGGAGAUAUAUAUUUGAGAAGAUUAGAUUUUUGUAAAUUUUUGUGAUCUUAUAAAAAUUAUAUUUAGCUUUGAUAAGAUUUUUGUUAAAUUAAUGUGAUAAAUUAGAAAUAAGUUGUUCUAGUAGUAAUGGAAGUGGGUCAAAAUAUAUAUAAUACAACCCAGAA